rfam:Tupaia chinensis contig198813, whole genome shotgun sequence.
UUUUGUAGCGGCAGGUGACAGUGCUGCUGUUUAGACUCUGUGAUUGCUCCCUCUCAAAGGAAACACCCUGAUGCACUGUGA